GACGAACGCUGGCGGCGUGCCUAAUACAUGCAAGUAGAACGUUGAAGGAGGAGCUUGCUUCUCUGGAUGAGUUGCGAACGGGUGAGUAACGCGUAGGUAACCUGCCUGGUAGCGGGGGAUAACUAUUGGAAACGAUAGCUAAUACCGCAUAAUAGUAGAUGUUGCAUGACAUUUGCUUAAAAGGUGCAAUUGCAUCACUACCAGAUGGACCUGCGUUGUAUUAGCUAGUUGGUGAGGUAACGGCUCACCAAGGCGACGAUACAUAGCCGACCUGAGAGGGUGAUCGGCCACACUGGGACGGAGACACGGCCCAGACGGCUACGGGAGGCAGCAGGAGGGAAUCGUCGGCAAUGGACGGAAGUCUGACCGAGCAACGCCGAGUGAGUGAAGAAGGUUGUCGGAUCGUAAAGAUCGGUUGUAAGAGAAGAACGAGUGUGAGAGUGGAAAGUUCACACUGUGACGGUAGCUUACCAGAAAGGGACGGCUAACUACGUG
rnacentral:rRNA from 1 species